GAUUUGGCUAGCAAUAGUAGCAUCGGUUGCGAAUCUCGACAAUCGACAUCCCCUGAGCAGGCCAGACGACAUCGGUUGCGAAUCUCGGCGACCGAAAAUAUUUGUUGCGCAUCUGUCUCUCUCAUACUGCCACCCUCCCGGCUCUCCUCUUCUGUGUUUCGCCCGAUGGAGACUGCGACGGUCGCUUCGGCUUCUUGGGCGCUUCGCCUUCAGAAUCAUUUCCCCGGAGGAAAAGCAUCUAUCUAAUCAUCCCCUUAAAUGACCGGAAUUUCUGAAGGUUUAGCCACAUUCCAUUCCCUUGUGUGAGUAAUGCCAUGGCCUACUUCUCCUUCCGUCGCCUUCUCAUACACGUCGAGGCGUUUUGAAAAGCGUUUCGGCCUCCAUUCACGUUUCCUCUGCUCUUCCCCUUCAGCAAGAUCACGCCUUUUCGUCAUUAUUCGUUCUCGGGUCUUCCGCAUUUUCCCUCUGAAACUCUGCGUAAGCUCCUCCCGCUAAAACCCUUUUGCCUUCUCCGGCCUCCCGUGCCAUUACGGGACGGCGGGACCGAAGAGCAUCUCUCGGACGUUGUGCCCGCCGCCGCCAUUUUUGAGCUUCUAACAGCUAUUGUCACCUCCGCCACCAGCUCCUUCCGUCACCGGCUCCUCCCGUUGCUCCUUACGCGCAUCUCCAAUCGGUAUCUUCUUGCGCACCAGCUCGUCCCCAUAACGUCCCCUCCUGCCGGUCCUCACGCUCGCCUCUGUAUACGGUUCUUAUUUCGUUGUUGUUUUCAGCCGGAUGGAGUCUGAUAGCGGAAGAGAGAGCAUUCCCGAGUUGAUUAAGAGCUUGGAAUCAACAUUUUUUCCCUCCGAUUACAAGGUCGUGGAGGAGAAGCUCUUGGCUCGGGAGGAACAAUUGAAUCUCAAGGUGGAAACUUACAAGAAGAAGUGUGAAGCGCUGAAACUAAAGCUGGAAGAAAUAAGAACCCCUAAGGAUGUCCUCAAUGGGUUUUCCAACAAAUUAUUGAGGAACGAGAAUAAUCGUUUAAAGGAGAAGAUAGACAGGUUAGAGGACGAAAAUGCAGCUUAUAGGAGGGAUUACGAAGAACUGGUAAAGCGGAUGUCCCAAAUAGAGGAUGAUAUCACCGAAAUGAAGGCCGAUUUUGGUAGUGAACAGGGUUGCCCUAAUGGUGUUGUCAUGCAGGGAGAGACUGGGAAUAGUUCGGUCCACUCUAAGCUUAAGAUGAAGUGGCCGAUUUGUUUCGAAGAGUUUCUGUUUAUCACGCCGAGCAUGGCUUCAAAAUCCCCGCCAAGUGAGGAAGGAGACCUGAACGGAAGCAAAUUAGGGUCCAAGAAGGUAAACAAAAGCUACAAUUCUCUUCAGACUAAUGGAGAGAAAACAACAGCCGGCCUCAAACGUCGAGAGAGCUCUCUUGUAGAUCUAAGUGACGAUGAGAGUGAGAACAGCUGGAGAAAAUUGAGAAAGACAGAAGCUUGUUGUGUUGUUGGUGAAGCUGCUAGGUCUUCCUCUAAAUCCCUGCAGGAUAUGGUUGUUCUUGAGAAGUGCCAAGAGACCAGCAACACCAAGAUGAACUCCUAUGACAAGAAUACUAUGGCUUCUAGCACUGAAAGAGACUCUUUCCAACGCCAACACAACCCAGAGGCAUCAAAAACUCGAAGGAGUUUCACCGAAGCUAGCCGAUUUACAGAGUUACGACCGGCAGAGAAGGCAAUUUUCUAAUGUUAAGCACCUUGAGCUGAAGGAGCAUUUACAGGGAUUUGGUAAUUUGGCUUGACAAACAUGUCCUUUUAAAACAGUUGUCUUCUAUCACAAAUACAUGUGCGUUUUUUUUUUCCUCUCAAAAAAUAUAUGUCAUAGAAAAAGCAAAUAUUGGAAGAGAAGAGUUACAAUUGUGGAUUCAUAUGGUCAUUCCAACGGAAGGCAAUUUCUCUAUAUGAGCUGCCCUGAUGGUUGUACUUAUAAUUACACGCAGGGAAACAUCAUGGGUUGAAUUUCUUACAAGUGGAUAUCCACAGGGCAGGUUGAAAAGGUCCAUCUCCGAGCUGCAGAAGUUCAACACUCAUUUCAUCGAGCAUUGUAGGAAAAAUAGCAGUCAACUAUUUCAAGGAGUUGAUCAAAAUAUACAACAAGAAAGAAGACCCCUUUUUUUCCGCACUCAUAAGGUAGCGAACUUAAUGCUUAAGAGCCAUUCCAGGAUGGAAACUGUAGAUAAUAGAAGCGGAGCCCCCCCACACUGAAAUGAAUCAGGACUCUCCUGCAGAUUUUGUUGUUGAUGGGUGAUGGCAUUCUGCCUCACCCACUUGAUUGAGGUACAUAUGACUGUCCUGCUAGGAUAUGUGCAGACAAAGUACUCACUCACCGUGUUUUUUAUGUACGUAGUUAGGAUGUUAGGAAUGAUGCGAACGUCGAUCAGGGCCCUUUAACUUGUCUAGUCUUAUCUUGUAGUUCCUUCGAACACAUCGUCUGUUGAAUGUGUACUUAAAUCUUUUGACUAAUCAAACCUCCAUCCUUCUGGGCAUUCUUCUA